GCGGCAGGCUUAACACAUGCAAGUCGAGCGGUAACAGAAAUAGCUUGCUAUUUGCUGACGAGCGGCGGACGGGUGAGUAAUGCUUGGGAAUAUGCCUUAUGGUGGGGGACAACAGUUGGAAACGACUGCUAAUACCGCAUAANGUCUACGGACCAAAGGGGGGGAUCUUCGGACCUCUCGCCAUUUGAUUAGCCCAAGUGAGAUUAGCUAGUUGGUAAGGUAAUGGCUUACCAAGGCGACGAUCUCUAGCUGGUUUGAGAGGAUGAUCAGCCACACUGGGACUGAGACACGGCCCAGACUCCUACGGGAGGCAGCAGUGGGGAAUAUUGCACAAUGGGGGAAASCCUGAUGCAGCCAUGCCGCGUGUGUGAAGAAGGCCUUCGGGUUGUAAAGCACUUUCAGUUGUGAGGAAAGGUGUGUAGUUAAUAGCUGCAUACUGUGACGUUAACAACAGAAGAAGCACCGGCUAACUUCGUGCCAGCAGCCGCGGUAAUACGAGGGGUGCAAGCGUUAAUCGGAAUUACUGGGCGUAAAGCGUUCGUAGGCGGUUGAAUAAGCAAGAUGUGAAAGCCCAGGGCUCAACCUUGGAACUGCAUUUUGAACUGUUCGACUAGAGUACUGUAGAGGGUGGUGGAAUUUCCAGUGUAGCGGUGAAAUGCGUAGAGAUUGGAAGGAACAUCAGUGGCGAAGGCGGCCACCUGGA
rnacentral:rRNA from 1 species